GAUGAAUGCUGGCGGCGUGCCUAACACAUGCAAGUCGAGCGGCAGCGAGGGGUGCUUGCACCCUGUCGGCGAGCGGCGAACGGCUGAGUAACGCGUAGGAAUUUGCCCCAAAGUGAGGAAUAACUGCCCGAAAGGGUAGCUAAUGCCGCAUAUGGUCUUCGGAUUAAAGGAUUUAUCCGCCUUGGGAGAAGCCUGCGUUGGAUUAGGUUGUUGGUAGGGUAAUGGCCUACCAAGCCGACGAUCCAUAGCUGGUCUGAGAGGAUGAUCAGCCAGACUGGAACUGAGACGCGGUCCAGACUCCUACGGGAGGCAGCAGUGAGGAAUCUUCCACAAUGGGCGAAAGCCUGAUGGAGCAACGCCGCGUGAAGGAUGAAGGCCUUCGGGUUGUAAACUUCUUUUAUGAGUGAAGAAUAUGACGGUAACUCAUGAAUAAGCACCGGCUAACUACGUG
rnacentral:rRNA from 1 species